GAUGAACGCUGGCGGCGUGCCUAAUACAUGCAAGUCGAGCGAACAGAUGAGGAGCUUGCUCCUCUGACGUUAGCGGCGGACGGGUGAGUAACACGUGGAUAACCUACCUAUAAGACUGGGAUAACUUCGGGAAACCGGAGCUAAUACCGGAUAAUAUAUUGAACCGCAUGGUUCAAUAGUGAAAGACGGUUUUGCUGUCACUUAUAGAUGGAUCCGCGCCGCAUUAGCUAGUUGUUAAGGUAACGGCUUACCAAGGCAACCAGGCGUAGCCGACCUGAGAGGGUGAUCGGCCACACUGGAACUGAGACACGGACCAGACUCCUACGGGAGGCAGCAGUAGGGAAUCGUCGGCAAUGGGCGAAAGCCUGACGGGGCAACGCCGCGUGAGUGAUGAAGGUCUUCGGAGCGUAAAACUCUGUUAUGAGGGAAGAACAAAUGUGUAAGUAACUAUGCACGUCUUGACGGUACCUAAUCAGAAAGCCACGGCUAACUACGUG
rnacentral:rRNA from 1 species